UUGGGGUAAGGAACCGAGGCCUGCUGCCAGCAACCAGCACCAGUUAGCAGUAUGUGAGUGAGCAAUGUGGGAAGCGGAUUCUUCAGCCCCAAUGCAACCUUCAGUGACUGCAACCCCAGCUGACAUUUUGACUCUAACCUUUUGAGGAACUCUGAGGCGGAACCCACCAAGCUAAGUUCCUGGCUCACAGAAAUUGUGUGAGAUAAACUUGUGGUGGGUCCUAUUUACAGCCCUGGUGCCAAAGUUUCAACCACAGUGAGAGACCUAAGGAUUUCAAGGAAAACUCAAAGCAGCAAUAUUCAGUGAUAGAAGACUGAGGGGUUUGAUGCAGAGUUCACUCUCUGAAAAUGAACUUUCAGUAAAAGCAUGUCUGAUUUGGAGGCUUCAUAUAAACUGCCUGUGAAGUAGACGCCACUUUGCAGGAAUCCAGUCAGCUGUAACAUUCCUGAAGGAGGAGGAGGAUGGUUCAGAGAAUGCGGUUCUUCUUCGAAACAAAGAUCCACAUCAGAAUCAUGAGGCUGAAGGAGGUGUCCUGUGCCGUACAGGUACAGAGAAGAAAUGAUGGAGAAGGAUGCUGCACAGAGGGAAGGAAUGCUACACAAGAGAGGACUAGAAGCUUCUUUACAAACAGGCCC